CUGCAAGAAAGAAAACUGCAAGAAAGACAGAGGCAGUCUAGUUAAGUCUGAAACUAAAAAUUUUUAUCCAUCUCAAUCUCUCCCUCUUCACUUAUUCACAUGGUAACCAAGAGGGAGUCUUUUAGCGAGUUUUCACAAUUCCUGAAGGCAGAUCUUGUUGACAGACAGACAUGUGAACGCCCGGAAAUCGUAUUGCUUUUUUGUUAGGUCCAAUAGGGUGGUCUGCAUGUGCCUCUUCAUAGAUCCCUUUUAACUCAUUUCUUAAUUAUCACCACUUUCUUUAACAAACAUUUUUCUUCAAGAAUGAGUUGGUUUGGCAGUUGAUUAUCUUUAAUACAAUCGUUAAUUAUGAUUUUUGUGUCUAAUUGAGGGUUACAUUUUUAAUCUAAUUGAGUCUAAACCAACCAUACCAAGUAUUCCAUACAAAAAUUCUUAGUGUGCCUUCAUUACAUUACUUGAGGUCUUAAGAGUAGGGUCCUUAGUAGGGUGCAUGGUUUGGAAUUAUGUGUGGCUUGGCUUCUCUCUCUUUACACAUUUGGUUUGUGGGCAGUUCGAAGGGCUCUAUGGCUAUAUAUGUGCACACUUUGCGGCCAAGUUAGAGCUAGGACACAAGCACAAACCUUUCCAGUUGUCUGUGCAGUGGGCUCUCUUUGCAGCAAGCUUCUUCUUGGGAGCUAGCAUCAAUGGCUGUUUUCAUGGUGAUUCUUGCUUUCAUCUUCAUUAUGCUUUCUACUUGCACUACCUUGUUGAAAUGGAAUGAGCUCAGAUAUAGAAAGAAAGGUCUCCCUCCUGGUACAAUGGGCUGGCCUGUCUUUGGUGAGACUACUGAGUUUCUUAAGCAAGGUCCAAACUUCAUGAAAAACCGAAGAGAAAGGUAUGGCAGUGUCUUCAAAUCCCACGUUCUGGGUUGUCCUACAAUUGUGUCAAUGGAUCCAGAGCUGAACAGAUACAUCUUAAUGAAUGAAUCAAAGGGCCUUGUUCCUGGCUACCCUCAAUCCAUGCUUGAUAUCUUAGGCAAAUGUAACAUUGCAGCCGUUCAUGGGUCCUGUCACAGAUAUAUGAGAGCAGCAUUGCUUGCUCUCAUUAGUCCCACCAUGAUCCGGGACCAACUUUUGCCUAAAAUCGAUGCCUUCAUGAGAACUCAUCUCAUAAAUUGGGAUAACAAAAUCAUUAACAUUCAAGAUAAAACCAAAGAGAUGGCACUUCUUUCUUCACUUAAGCAGAUUGCCAGUGUAGAAUCUAGCUCAGUAUCUCAGAAAUUCAUGCCUGAGUUCUUUAAGUUGGUUUUAGGAACUCUGUCACUGCCGAUAGACCUGCCUAGCACAAACUAUCGCCAAGGUUUAGAUGCUAGGAAAAAUAUUGUAGCCAUGUUGAGACAGCUGAUAGAAAAGAGAAGAGAUUCUCAGGAAACCCACCAAGACAUGCUUGGUUACUUGAUGAGAAGUGAUGAAAAUAGACACAGAUUAAGUGAUGAAGAGAUUAUUGAUCAGAUAAUUACUAUUUUGUAUUCUGGUUAUGAGACUGUGUCAACAACUUCGAUGAUGGCUGUCAAGUUUUUACAUGAUCAUCCAAGAAUCCUUCAAGAGCUAAGAACAGAACAUUUAGCAAUUAGAGAAAGGAAAAGGCCAGAGGAUCCAAUUGAAUGGAAUGACCUUAAAUCAAUGAGAUUCACUAGAGCAGUGAUCUUUGAGACCUCAAGAUUAGCUACAAUAGUUAACGGGGUUAUGAGAAAAACCACAGAAGAAAUGGAACUUAACGGAUUUGUGAUUCCAGAAGGAUGGAGAAUUUAUGUUUAUACCAGAGAGAUGAACUACGACCCAUAUAUAUAUCCAGAUCCAUUAGCCUUCAAUCCCGGGAGAUGGCUGGAUAAGAGUUUAGAGUCUCAAAACUAUUUAUUUAUAUUUGGAGGGGGCACCAGGCAAUGUCCUGGAAAGGAACUUGGAAUAGCAGAGAUUUCAACUUUCCUUCACUACUUUGUAACUAGAUACAGGUAACAAACAUGCAUAUCUGAACACACAAGUUAGUUUAUUUAUCCAAAAAAUAGAAGUGUGUUCAAAGAUGGAUUUGAGUGAACUUAAACAAGGGCUAACUUGAAGAGUUGCUGAAGAAAAAGGUGGAAUGACGUUGGAGGAGAUAAACUGAUGAAAUUUCCGAGAGUUGAAGCACCAAAUGGACUACAUAUCAGAGUCUCAUCUUACUGACUAACCUUUUAUGUAUAUACAGAAGAGAGACAUUGUAACAUAUCAAGAAAUAAGAGUGCAUGAUAAUAUUCUAAUAGAUCAGAAAAUUUAAUGA